rnacentral:pre_miRNA from 1 species
CAAUGCUGGGGUCUCAGAAGGCAGCUCUGGGGCAUCUCCACCAUGGUCUGACUUCUGCUGCCUCAAACCUUUCACCCUCAGGGCAAGAGUCC